AGCUCAGUAGCUCAGUGGUAGAGUACAUGCUUUGUAUGUAUGAUGUCCAGGGUUCUACCCAGGUCGCCGU